rnacentral:lncRNA from 12 species
AUGUUAGAGCAUGUGCCCAGGAACAUGCUUGUGUCUCUGUCUGCCUGCCUUUCAGUUCUCCAAGGUCUCCUCCCUUCUUCUUUGUUAUUUUCUCAUUUUUCAAGUUAUCCCUCAUUGUUCUCCUCUUGCUGUUGUCUUCAUGUCGCUCGCUCAGCUGUACUCUUUCCCACUCUCCUGAGAAGCAUUCAAUUUUGCUCUGAGUUUGUGUGCGUAAUUUCUGCAGGCGUGUGUGUGUGUGUGUGUGUGUGUGUAUGCACAGCUCGCCCCCUCAGUUCCAUCUCUUUUUCCCAAGCUUGUAAAACUUUCUGCUUUCACUGUGCCUUACCAUGUGCUCAUGAGUACACAGAGGUCUGCAGGUGGCAUCGUGCUUCUCUCUCUGAGGUGGGUCACCAUUGGGUUCCAUGCUCUCUGUCAUUCUCAGUGACUCUUCAUCCAUCUACUUGUCUGUUUAUCCAAAACAUAUUUGUUGAGCUGUGUUCUAGGAUCUGUCUAUCCUGGUGGUCUUCCUUCCCUGACUCUUCCUGCUUCACACAUCUCCCAUUGUGCUGCCCCCAGGUCCCCGCCCUGCAUCCUUCUUCUAUUUCAGCCGCUCCCUGGAUGCAGUCAGAGUUCUUUGCAUAUAUAUUCCAGUGUCCCUCUGCCAUUCAGACUCUACUAAUUUUCUUUCUCUCCUGCCAUGGGCACUGGGCCCCCACACUUAAGCCCAGUGCCUUCUCUCCCCAGCCCCAUGUGUGUUUCUUCUCUGCUCUCAUUAGCGCUCAGCAUCACCACUAUCUGGAACCUCAGGAGCCCCCAGUCCUUUCUCUAAUACCAUCCACUCUUUCACCUGUCCCUUGUCCUGUCAACUCUCCCUCUGAGGGGCCUCGGCCACAGACCCAUUAUCAACUUUGUGAUGCCUGGACCAUCCAUCCCCCCAUCAUCCAUCCCCCUAUCCAUGCCCCAACCAACUACCUACUUAUCUACCCAUCCAUUCAUCUAUCUCCCAACAAGCUUGCCCCAAGCACCCACUGGGUCUCCACUGAGAACAAAGGCCCCUAA